UACGUAGGGCGCAAGCGUUGUCCGGAAUUAUUGGGCGUAAAGAGCUCGUAGGCGGUUUGUCGCGUCUGCUGUGAAAACUCGAGGCUCAACCUCGGGCUUGCAGUGGGUACGGGCAGACUUGAGUUCGGUAGGGGAGACUGGAAUUCCUGGUGUAGCGGUGAAAUGCGCAGAUAUCAGGAGGAACACCGGUGGCGAAGGCGGGUCUCUGGGCCGAUACUGACGCUGAGGAGCGAAAGCGUGGGGAGCGAACAGG
rnacentral:rRNA from 1 species